AUACGUAGGGUGCAAGCGUUGUCCGGAAUUAUUGGGCGUAAAGAGCUCGUAGGCGGCUUGUCGCGUCUGCUGUGAAAACCCGAGGCUCAACCUCGGGCUUGCAGUGGGUACGGGCAGGCUAGAGUGUGGUAGGGGAGAUUGGAAUUCCUGGUGUAGCGGUGGAAUGCGCAGAUAUCAGGAGGAACACCGAUGGCGAAGGCAGAUCUCUGGGCCACUACUGACGCUGAGGAGCGAAAGCAUGGGGAGCGAACAGGAUUAGAUACCCUGGUAGUCCAUGCCGUAAACGUUGGGAACUAGAUGUAGGGACCUUUCCAGGGUUUCUGUGUCGUAGCUAACGCAUUAAGUUCCCCGCCUGGGGAGUACGGCCGCAAGGCUAAA
rnacentral:rRNA from 1 species